CCUGAAGUUCUGUUGUGUAGUCCUGGAGUCCUGUCGUGUAGUCCUGUCGUGUAGUCCUGUCGUGUAGUCCUGGAGUCAUGUCGUCAUGUCGGGUAGUCCUGGAGUCCUGUCGUGGAGUCCUGUCAUGGAGUCCUGUCGUGGAGUCCUGUCGUGGAGUCCUGUCGUGGAGUCCUGUCGUGGAGUCCUGUCGUGGAGUCCUGGAGUUCUGUCGUGGAGUCCUGGAGUUCUGUCGUGGAGUCCUGUCCUGUCGCGGAGUCCUGUCGCGGAGUCCUGUCGCGGAGUCCUGUCGUGGAGUCCUGGAGUUCUGUCGUGGAGUCCUGGAGUUCUGUCGUGGAGUCCUGGAGUUCUGUCGUGGAGUCCUGGAGUUCUGUCGUGGAGUCCUGGAGUUCUGUCGUGGAGUCCUGGAGUUCUGUCGUGGAGUCCUGGAGUCCUGUCGCGGAGUCCUGUCGCGGAGUCCUGGAGUCCUGGAGUUCUGUCGUGUAGUCGUGGAGUUCUGUCGUGUAGUCGUGGAGUCCUGGAGUCCUGUCCUGGAGUUCUGUCGUGUAGUCCUGGAGUUCUGUCGUGUAGUCCUGGAGUCCUGUCAUGUAGUUCUGUCAUGUAGUCCUGUCGUCAUGUCGUGUAGUCCUGGAGUUCUGUCGUGUAGUCCUGGAGUUCUGUCGUGUAGUCCUGGAGUUCUGUCGUGUAGUCCUGGAGUUCUGUCGUGUAGUCCUGGAGUUCUGUCGUGUAGUCCUGGAGUUCUGUCGUGUAGUCCUGGAGUUCUGUCGUGUAGUUCUGUCGUGUAGUCCUGGAGUCCUGUCGUGUAGUCCUGUCGUGGAGUCCUGUCGUGGAGUCCUGUCGUGGAGUCCUGGAGUCCUGUCGUGUAGUCCUGGAGUCCUGGAGUGUAGUCCUUAUUAGACCAGAUUCACUACCCAGAGCAUUGGAUAGAAGUUGUGCACUAUACACUGAGUAUACGAAACAUUAGGAACACAAGCACUCAGGCCUGCUCUCUGUCUCCUAUUCAUAUUGGGUUUGUCUGUCACAGUUGUAGAUAAAAAAUGUAUUUCUGCCUCUCAGUCAUGAGGUUGUCCAUUGUGUAUCUUUAUGACGUGAUGAAACAAUUUUAAGAAGAUGAUAUUCAUUUUAGAGAAAUAAAAUAUUAUUUUUUUGUAGAGCACCCUCCACUCGUGUAGUUUUACUUCCUUUAAGAAUGGUCCUAAUGAUCAUUACAGUCCAGAAUGGUCCUAAUGAUCAUUACAGUCCAGAAUGGUCCUAAUGAUCAUUACAGUCCAGAAUGGUCCUAAUGAUCAUUACAGUCCAGAAUGGUCCUAAUGAUCAUUACAGUCCAGAAUGGUCCUAAUGAUCAUUACAGUCCAGAAUGGUCCUAAUGAUCAUUACAGUCCAGAAUGGUCCUAAUGAUCAUUACAGUCCAGAAUGGUCCUAAUGAUCAUUACAGUCCAGAAUGGUCCUAAUGAUCAUUACAGUCCAGAAUGGUCCUAAUGAUCAUUACAGUCCAGAAUGGUCCUAAUGAUCAUUACAGUCCAGAGAUGAAAGAAGGUAAUUAGCCUGAUGUGGGUCUAUUUUAAAGAUCAAAGACACUUCCUCUCUGGUUCAGAAGUUAGUAAGUCUUGCCAGAGAUGGUCUAAAAUGUUCUAACAGGCUUUGUCUCGCUUGCCUUCUCAUGUGCCUAUGUCACACACACACACACACACACACACAGCAGUUGUGGGUAGAGAAUAUAGAGUAGUUAGUAGACCUGGGAUGAUGUAGACCUGGGAUGAUGUAGUUAGUAGACCUGGGAUGAUGUAGUUAGUAGACCUGGGAUGAUGUAGUUAGUAGACCUGGGAUGAUGUAGACUUGGGAUGACAGAGUAGUUAGUUAAACCUGGGAUGACAUAGACCUGGGAUGAUGUAGUUAGUAGAUCUGGGAUGUGUCCCAAAUGGCACCCUGUUCCCUUUAGAUGGCUCUAAAGUACUGCUCUAUAUAGGGAAUAGGGUGCCAGCCCUGGUCUAAUGUAGUGCACUAUAUAGGGAAUAGGGUGCUAGCCCUGGUCUAAAGUAGUGCACUAUAUAGGGAAUAGGGUGCCAGCCCUGGUCUAAAGUAGUGCACUAUAUAGGGAAUAGGGUGCUAGCCCUGGUCUAAAGUAGUGCUCUAUAUAGGGAAUAGGGUGCCAGCCCUGGUCUAAAGUAGUGCACUAUAUAGGGAAUAGGGUGCCAGCCCUGGUCUAAUGUAGUGCACUAUAUAGGGAAUAGGGUGCUAGCCCUGGUCUAACGUACUGCACUAUAUAGGUGCUAGGGUGCCAUUUGGGAACCAGAUUUUGUUCAUUAAAACUGGAAUUAAGUGGUAGACACCUGGAAUUCCCCAAAGCAGAAUAAUUUUUUAAAAUACAAAUUUUUAAUACAUUUUCCAGUUUUUAUUUCUGCGUUAUUUGACUGCUCUAUCAGGUUUUAGGAUCAUAUGUUCAGAUUAAUUUAUCUCCAGGAGUGUUCGUAUGGAUAUGGACUGAAACGAACAACUGUGUCUUGGAUGGGCUUCUGCUUUCAGAAAUGCUUCUGACAUGUAAUAGUAGUAUAAUUUUAAAGUCAUCUAAAGCAGUGUUUGUUGAGACUUUAGUUCUAUGGUUUGUUAUCUUUGUUAGAUAAUAUGUUGCGGUGUUAGUUUUAAAACAGUAGGUGACUGUGAGCUCUUUGCAAUUUUGACAACGAGUACGUUUACAUGCACACUAAUAAUCUGAUAUUAAAUUAUGGUAGAAGGCAGAGUAUGGCGUUCGUCAUGUAAACACCUUUUAUUCUGCUUAUCUUAGUUAAUCAGUGGCAAAAUCCAAGUAAGCAAUACACCGAUUUAAAAAUACACCUGGUUUUCUGAACAAUCUUUCAAAAAACGAUUUAUAUUAACCUGAUUCUCCCAAAUAAUAACGUCAUUAUUGUUUGCAUGUGAUCGUGCUCAAUAUUUGCCUUGUGGAUUGUUUUUUCAUUUUUUUUUCAUUUACUUUCUUAUUACCUCUCUACAUAUAGUAAGUAUAGUUUCUCUUGGUGUGUAUUUUUAUUAUAGAUAAUAUAAUAAAACUAUUUUGAUCCCGUCUUUA